AAAGAUGGCUCAAACUCAGGCAGUAACUUCCAAUUAAUAGUUGUAACUAAUGGAAACAAUACAUUUGGUAUUGCUCUGUAUGUUAGUGUGAGUAUUGCAUCGGCUAGCACUGGAAUAGGUUCAUAUAUUAAUGGUGAUCGUAUACAACCUGAUCCUUCUUUCUUUCCAUUUGUUGACAAUGUCAUGGAUGCUCCUACCAUGAUGUCCAAUAGUACCAUACCAGGGACAUAUAUAUUUUCACUGAAUAAUAUACCACCAGAUACUUGCAGUUCUGUCUGCUUUUCUUGUAAAGCCAGACUUGCUCAGUUGGCAUGUGAGGCAAUGAGGAUCAAUGGAGAAGAUGUACCAGCUUCUUGUAACAACUAAUGACAAUACUUCUUAUUCUGUCUUGUUUUUGCUUUUGUGAUUAAAAUUAUCUUUCAGUAGUGAAUUAGUCAAUUU